rnacentral:misc_RNA from 1 species
AAACGAUCAUUUUCAUAACCAAGCGCAAUGUGCAGCUAGCAUAAGAAAGCAGCAGAACAGAGGGUAUACACGAGUUCAUACAAAUAAACUGGUAAUAACAAAACCACCUUAGUACAAACAUCAUCUGAUGUAAAAAGGGCUUACAUUUAUUCCAUAAGACAGUAGACAUAUAUUUACUUCUUUUAGCCUCCAAAUUAGCUGUAAAUUAACGUCGGUUUGUAGUCAAUAACAAUAACUUUGUCCAAGGAAGAAAGGAACAAGUUU